rnacentral:rRNA from 1 species
CGACAGGCCUAACACAUGCAAGUCGAGGGGCAGCACAAGGAGCAAUCUGAGGUGGCGACCGGCGCACGGGUGAGUAACACGUAUGCAACCUGCCUGUAAGCGGGGAAUAACCCGUUGAAAGACGGACUAAUACCGCAUAAUACUAAAUUACUGCAUGGUAAUUUAUUUAAACAUUUAUGGCUUACAGAUGGGCAUGCGCAUGAUUAGCUAGUUGGAGAGGUAACGGCUCCCCAAGGCAACGAUCAUUAGGGGUUCUGAGAGGAAGGUCCCCCCACACUGGUACUGAGACACGGACCAGACUCCUACGGGAGGCAGCAGUGAGGAAUAUUGGUCAAUGGACGAGAGUCUGAACCAGCCAAGUCGCGUGCAGGAAGAAUGUCCUAUGGAUUGUAAACUGCUUUUGCAGGGGAAUAAAGUGCAUCACGUGUGAUGUUUUGUAUGUACUCUGCGAAUAAGGAUCGGCUAACUCCGUGCCAGCCGCCGC